GCUAGCAUGGCGGGCGACGGUGCCCCGGGAGACCGGGGUGAAAAGGGAAGCCGGUGCGCCUUUCGGGGCAAGGCCGGCGCUGCCCCCGCAACUGUAGGCGGCGAGCCCGCGCCCGAAGCCACCGGACCAUUCCGGGAAGGCGGGCGCCCCGGGCGGCGACCCGCGAGCCAGGAGACCUGCCGUCGGAUUUGUGCGUGU
rnacentral:ncRNA from 2 species